ACAUAGUGAGGGGUAUCAGAAUGACCCCCCCUCCUUACUCCCAGCCUGUUCCCUACUCCAUAUCCUGUAUGAAGCAAACCUGAGAGCGCCUUCACUCCCUGCCUUCUGCUACCUCCCAUCUGCUGACUAAUGCCCCCGGUGUGGCCCUGGGACAUGAUUCAAUUUUUGAUGUGGACAUGCAGAAUGUUGUUGUACCCCGUUAUGCGUCUGCCUCAGAUUCGGUACAAAGUGGGCCAAGUGAGGUAUCUAUGGAAAGCUGAUGCUUUGCUGAGUCCGUUGACAUGACCCAUGUGCUUGUAUGAUUUCUGCAUGGGAAGUAUUGGCUCUGUGCUGGUAUUUCAAGUAUUUGCAUCUGAGCCACAGCAACAGGCGACCCACCUAUUGUGGGGUAGAGUCAAGUGAACAGCAGCACUUCACGGACAACAGCUGCAAACCUGCAGGCAAACCUGUACCCCACAGACAGGUGGCUUGCUCAUGUGACAAACUCCCUUUUGGGAGGUACCAUCACACAGCCAGCGCAAUGGGAGGUGCUCUGUGGCGGACCCCCAUUUUAAGAAAUUGACUUAUGGAUACAAAUAUGCACAAUUCAAAGAUGCUUAGGACAAAAUACCUCAUGUCAAAUAUCAAUGUUAAUAUCACAGUCUGAUGGAUCUGUAUCUUAUUUUGGUGUGUGUGUCACUCCUGUAUGAAGUUAGAAAUAUGGGGGAGGGAAUGGUUUAUGGUUUUAAACAUGUAUAUGAAGGCCAUUAAGGGUGUUUCCAGUGCUCGGAUACCUUAGUGUCUGAGUGAUCACCUGUAACAGGCUCCUUUGUCCUUUAAGUCUAAGAAGUGGCUGCUCUUAGGAAGACAUGUGUCCACUGCUCCAACUGGUAGGGUCUGACCAGGUAAUUUUCCACAGAAGGGGAGAAUGUAAAAAUAAAGAAUUCCCACCCAAAGGAAGUCUAUUUAAGAUGCAAGGUUUUCAGGCUCUUUGUCUUGGAGGACACACCCUUAGGGAGACAAAGACCCACCCAGAGAAAAAGAUCUUCCCUGGCUGGCUUGGAGGUUUUUUGUCCCACAGAACACAUCUCGAAGAACUAUCGUUACUGCACAGGGUGAGUAACUUCUUCACUGAGUGGUGGCCGUGAGGGUGCACCACUCAGGUGACUCUGUAGCAGUACACACCUGAUGGAGGUGGGCAUUGGAGUCUAAGUGGAAGGAGGAAGGACUGCAUCUGCUAGAGAUGUGGAGGGUAUUGUCCCCUUGUGCAGGGUAUAGUGCUGUGUGAAAGCAUGGUGUGAGGACCACGUGGCUGCUCUACAAAUGUCUGCCAAUGGUACGUUGUUCAGGCAGACCAUUGUAGCGGCCAUCACAUGUGUGGAAUGAGCCCUAAUGGGCUGCGGUGGCUGAGGGGGGUGAUGGAGGUUUGGAUGCAUUUUCUGUAAACCUGUGAGAAAACACUUCACCAUGGGAUGUGCAAAGAGAGAGAAGCCGUCUACGGGAUCACGGAAGGCCAUGAUCGCUGCCAGGUGGACCCAGACAGAGCUGACGGAGAGGCCCAUGUCGCUAAGGUCCAUGAGGUAGUCAAGUAAGGUAGGUAUGGGGACUGUGAUGGGAUGCAAAUUGCACAUCGUGCACCAUUGUUGAAAACGCGUCUACUUGUUUUGAUAGGUGCUUCUUGUGGAGGGAUGCCAACUGUUUAGAAGAAAACCCUGUCCGAACAGGUGAUUUCUUCAUUCUGGAACCACGGAUAAGCCAUUCCGUCAUCUGUCAGAGGAGGUGGUGAGAUCUGGAAUACUGCUUUGUCCUGCCUGGAUCUGGGUUCAUGUGAGGAACUCUCUGAAUCCGAUUGGGGAAGAGCGCUGCUCUGAAUUCCGUCUUCAGCCAGGGAUGGUUGAAAAGGAACCAACGGGACUCGCGCCGUGCAUGCAUUCCACAGGCUCAGGGGUGGGGGUAGAGUGGCCACUGAGCACGCAGGCGCUGUGCGAGGGGCAUUGCUCGCAAAAAUCUCCUAUCCCCGCACAGGCACGCACCGAGACCCGAGUGGAGCACCCACAGGGACACCACUCGAUGAAGAACGCGGUGCCCACAAUUGCAUUCUCCUCAGACCUGAAGAGGUUCAGUGUCUAUAAUGCUAUUUGGGAGGAGAGGCAGUGAUCUCAGCUUUGUGACUAGACUGGGGGAGACCAAGAGAUCUGGCCCAGGAGUAUAGGGUGGUGAGAAGCCCCAGAGAGCAAGGAUGCGAGUGUCCGUGGCUUUAUCCUUUUAGAUGCUAAAGGAUUAGGCUAAGUUCUAAGGCAUAAAUUGACCUGGGCCUGUGGCUGGUCCUUUGGGGUCAGAACUUGUUUGGAUCUGGUGAGAUGGCUUUUCAUAACCUCUCCCCUAUGUAAAAUAGUGGUAGAGAUGUAGCCGUGUUAGUCUGGGGUAGCUGAAGCAAAAUGCAGGACUAUGUAGACCCUUUUCUUCCAUUAUUUGAUCUGAGGAAGUGGGUCUGGCCCACGAAAGCUCAUCAUCUAAUAAACCAUCUUGUUAGUCUUUAAAGUGCUACAUUGUCCUGCAUUUUGCUUCCCCUAUGUAAGGCGUGGUGCUGGCUGUGGCACAGGAGAAGCUGGGCAUCUAAGGGGGUUGCUUGUGUGACUUCUUGCAGGCCAGUGUGGCAAACAGAAGUGCCCUGUGUGACUGGUUUGGUGCCCUAGAGUGGAGGACCCCUAGAUGUCAGCUUUCAGUAGCCCAGAUUCUAACUGGCCCCAAUUUUACUCCCCAGAUGUACCCUCACAAGCAGUGUUCCCUCUAAGUUCCAGUGCAAUGCAGCAUCACAGGUGAUUAAUCAGCCCCGCCCAGUCAGCUCCAUGCAGGGAUCCCUGAGCCUCUGACUGGGCAGGGCUGAUUAACCAUCUGUGAAGCUGGGUUGCCCUACAGUUUAGAGGGAACAUGCUCACAACCCAUCAUAUUGCAGACCUCCUUGACUCACACCUCACCCCUGGU